GUUUGCAUAAUUUAAAAAAAAUAAUAGAUUGUGAUUCUAUAAAUAAGAGUUAAAUCCUCUUUACAAACC
rnacentral:tRNA from 1 species